UCCUACCAAACUCUACAGACGACAUUCAGAAGCAAGCUUUAAAAUACUUAAGUACAAACCCAGAUCAUCAACAGGUAUGCUAACAGCUUUUGGAGGCAAGUCACCACUGAGUCAAAGGCUCCGGUCCGAAGUGAGCGUGACCAUGCUCAGCUGAGCUGGACCAGCAUCAUCAUCUUUCCCGAGUCAUCCAGCAACCUCAUCUCGAGAGCCAAUUCCGUUCCGUGGGUUCAUGAAUUAUUGAUCUCUGCCGCUGUAUCAGCAACAGGCAGGCAAAGCAGAUCACAGGCAAUCCGCACGCCGCAAAAAGGAGAAAGCAACACAGGAAAACUCGGUACGAGCAAAGUGUCUCAUUUGACAAAUUUCAGUUUAGUUGUGUAUUUCCACCAACGCCCUUCAUCCAUAUCGUUAUCCCCAUUAUUUUAUAUCAGCUCCGUGCUUUUAAUUCUAACUUUGUCUGGAAAAUAUUUCUGAGAACAGUCUUUGUUCACCACCCACCACUGCAAGGCUGUUGCCAGCUCCCAUAGUGGUAUCGCAGACAGCAUGUGCCAGAUGAAGAGAAUGGCACGUACCUGUCACUCUUUGUAAGAGCAGCUAUUUCUGGCUUGGAUUUACAUGCGCAGCCUUCUGCAUAUUGCUUGAAAUCUCCAUUUUAUAGAGGAAUCUGAUGUUACCUGAAUGCUGACAGCAAGCGGGCAGCACCAGGGUGUCCAUGGCUUGUGUUGGAAAGGGCUAACGACAAUGCUCAGCUCACAGCUCAUUUCUUCAUAGAUUUAAUUAGCGCAAAAGGCUUUGGUCUUCACACUUGCAAAAAGGUAUCUUCCAUCUUAAACUAGGGAUAAUAAGGGCGGUAGAGCUAAACCUCCAAUCAAUUUAGAGACACCGCAACGCUGAAUAAGAACCGAUGAGAAACUAAAUAAAAAUGCUCUUUUGUGCUCAGACCUGUUACGCUCAGACACUGCGAUUCUCUUUUGCACUUCAGAGCUCCAGCACAACAGCCUGUCCUGGGGAAGCUUUUUGGACCAGACUUUUUGAUGUACCUUCCCGAAACGUGGCUUCGAAUGGCUAAAUACCACACAGUGAACCGCAACUGCUCACCCACGCCUGUUCAAAGGCGGCAGAGGAACCCAUCUACCGCAAACAGCGCAAGGGAAAGGGAAAACAAGCCAAGGGAAAAUCUGGGUUUGUAUUUCGGCAUGUGCAAAGAGCGCAGAAGGGAUCAAACCUGGCAAAAAUUUAAAAUGCUUUAAAGCUACCUCUGUAUAGCAGUGGGCAAAAUUCCUUGCUGACAGAAAAACACGAUUUCAGAUCAUCUAUUUUAAGUGUACGGUAGAUGCAAACUAACAGCUUUACUUCUAUCCUGCCUAAAUUAGGUUACAAAUAGGGCAACUAACAACUCAACUGAUCUAAGGGAAAAAAGUACCAAUUUUGUAUCAACAGAAAAUAAAUUAUUGCAGGAAGCUGUACUGGACUCCGACAGAAACAGGAGCACUCACAAUAGGAUGGUUUUUUUUCCCCUGCCCGAACACAUUUUUCCAUGCAGAGAAGCAUGGUUCACUUGGUUUACAUGUGAUCGCUUCUUUCUACAGGAGAUAUUUAACCGAAGAGAGCUGCUUAACAAGAUGCCAUGUUCAGCACCUGCGAAGUCCCAGCUCUCCUCUCCCCGCACACUGUACCGAUGCAUCUUUGGGAUGCUAAUGCAGAGGAGAACAGUCAAGACGCAGAUACAUGUUAACGUACACAGGAGACGUGCUGAUCCAGAGACCCCAGACCCAAGGACAGGAGUGCCUUAGGAGACAACGAAGAGCUCACGCACAAGGAAUAAGCUUGCAAUUCCUGCUCUGCCUGCUGCAGGAGGCUAACAGACACCCGCAAGGACCAAAGGGCCACGCUGGAACUGUGGCUCAUCCCUGGGCUCAGCCACCACUGCAGCAGGGCGCACCGACAUGCUGCCUGACUUGGCCCCUGCCAGCCCAGGUGAGGGUCACGUCGAAGGCUCAGCUUUCCCAGGGACUAUAAUACCGCAAAACGAGAACAGAUGACGUUAUUUUAUGUUUAGGUAUCACUUAAAACCUUUCUGACGCUCAGUAAAAGAGUCUGCAGCCCCCAGAGCAAACGCUGAAAGCGCGAACAGCAACAGCUAAGAAAACAGGAGCUCCUUCUGCUGUGUCUCAUUGCUCUCCAUCACCAUUCUCCAGCCACAAAGCCCACCCUCGCCCUUACUGCAAUACCAGCUACCACACAGCCCAGGACAGCCUGACUGCAAACUCCUCCUGUUAAAACACCCGGUGACACCCAAACAUACCACUGACCUCAAGGCAGCCAGGGCGCCGGUAUCUCUGCAUGCGGUGUGCGUACGCAGGCCAAGCUCCUGAGGGCCGCGCUGCUCUUGCAUUGACCGGAAAACUUUCCUGAGCAAAUUUACAGUGAAACCACCAGCUGCCGGGUGGGGAGGCACAGCAGCCCCUGCUAGAUGCCUGCCUGCCUGGGGAAGAGCUACACAGCAAAAAGCUGGCUUUGCUUGAAGCAGCCACACCAUUAUAGAUGGUGGAAAAAACAGCCCCCACCCUUGCUAACCACUGACUUACAGCUAAGAACGGCCACAGCUGGCAGCCAGGGAGCUGCGAGGAAAGGUGGCAUCUGCUGGGAACGUGAAGGAGCUGUGUGAUCACUUCCAUGGGUUUCCCUUGGAGAAACAGCGUGGCAGGAGUUACAGAGCUAGCAGAGUUUGUACUCAAAGGAGUCUCCCACCCGCAGGAUGCUGUGCAACCCUUUAACGAUGGAAAGGGUUAAGAUGCAUUUUUUUGUCCUACAGCUAAAUAUUAGUAAAAAUACAACCUUGAAAAGGCCAAGAUGUCCACGUUACAAAACUAGGAAAAACCCCUCAGAACAGAUUCUCACUUUAGAGAGCUUGUCCAACUUUGUGUCCACCCGCGCUCAGUCCCAUGGCUGACGUGCUGCCCUGCAGGGCUCCUGUUUCGAGGACCCUGCACACGUGUCACUUGCCAAACCCACCCCCAGCUGCGGCGCUUGGCGCUGUGGGACCUGGGGACACUGAUGGCAAGGCAGCCCUGGGACAGCACAGCUGAGCAACGGCACGUGAUGCGCUGCCUCGAGGUGCCGGUGUCCCUGACCAUGUCCCACCAGCAGUGCUGAGCAAAUAUAGCAAGAGACCCCAAAGCAAGAGUGACUUGGUGCGGGCACUGCUGCCUCCUCACCCAGGAGUGACCCAGUCCCUUCCCUCGCUUUCCUUACGGGUGCUCAUGUUGUCACCAGACAUCAUCAGCAAAAUGGACACCACAGAUGUUAAAAAAACCAACCCCAAACCAAACACCCCUUCAUAUACAAGGCGAGAGAUGACAUUAGCAGCGCCGGGGCCGUGCAGAUGACUGGCUAAUACAAGCACUGCAAGUAGAAUUUCACAUUCCUUCAAUUUCCACUUGAGCAAGUGCCUUCAAAAAGUUCCCACCAUAGGAAAAGUAAUGAAUUCUAGUUUUCUUAGUACAGUAAUAAUUCUUUGCUCCAUUUCCACAAGAGCUACUUCUCUUUAGUAACGGCUAUAAACUCUGAUCCUUACCAGAAUUCGCCGGCUCGCCCGCACCAGCUUCAUUUCAGGAUGAAAGCUGCAAAGGUGAAAAGAGUUUCCCAACUGAAAUUGUGAGACCAGCCUCAAAAAUAGCAUCGCGUUAACUCUGGUAGUCAGUGAAAAGCCUUAAAAGGAAUUUACUUUAUGUGAACUCUUUGAAUCAAAUGACUUCACGUUUUAUCACCUCGAGUAAGACCGAAUAGCAAUAGAAAAAUCUUUCAAAUGCAGUAAAAUAAAAGUUCAGAGUGAGAUUCUG